rnacentral:rRNA from 1 species
UACGAAGGGGGCUAGCGUUGCUCGGAAUCACUGGGCGUAAAGCGCACGUAGGCGGAUUGUUAAGUCAGGGUGAAAUCCUGGAGCUCAACUCCAGAACUGCCUUGAUACUGGCGAUCUCGAGUCCGGGAGAGGUGAGUGGAACUGCGAGUGUAGAGGUGAAAUUCGUAGAUAUUCGCAAGAACACCAGUGGCGAAGGCGGCUCACUGGCCCGGUACUGACGCUGAGGUGCGAAAGCGUGGGAGCAA